rnacentral:rRNA from 1 species
GACGAACGCUGGCGGCGUGCUUAACACAUGCAAGUCGAACGGAAAGGCCCCUUUGGGGGUACUCGAGUGGCGAACGGGUGAGUAACACGUGAGUAACCUGCCCUUGACUUCGGGAUAACUUCAGGAAACUGGGGCUAAUACCGGAUAGGAAUCCUUGCUGCAUGGUGGGGGUUGGAAAGCUUCGGCGGUUUUGGAUGGACUCGCGGCUUAUCAGCUUGUUGGUGGGGUAGUGGCUUACCAAGGCUUUGACGGGUAGCCGGCCUGAGAGGGCGACCGGCCACAUUGGGACUGAGAUACGGCCCAGACGCCUACGGGAGGCAGCAGGGGGGAAUAUUGCACAAUGGGCGGAAGCCUGAUGCAGCAACGCCGCGUGCGGGAGGACGGCCUUCGGGUUGGAAACCGCUUUCAGCAGGGGCGAAGCUUGUGGUGACGGUACCUGCAGAAGAAGCACCGGCUAACUACGUG